ACCCUGAGGACUAUUUCAUUACGAAACCAACCUUCUUUGAUUUCAUUUUUAAUAUCAUUGGUAAAGAUGGCGGCUGAUCUGAAGGUGGUGCUUGCUGCAUUGCUGAGAGACAUUUCGGAAAGGAGUUCCUGUGAAAACUUAGCUGAAGCGAAAGCAAUUUUGAGUGCAACGCGCGCAGAAAAUAUUUAUAACGUCUCGAAAGACCUUGAUCUAAGCCCUUUGUUCAGCUGUUCAAGCACGUUUAACGGGAAUACUUUAGAUGAACUCAGUGAGCUGCUUGGAAAGCUUCUUGAUGCAUUUCCACCAUCUGCAUUACUUUCCGCUCACAAGCAGCAUUUUGUGACUGCAUUGAGCACUUCUGAUGGGGCACUGAAAGCAGUCGUCUUACGCCAGCUGAUUCGAUGCUCCAAGGACAAUGCUACAUUGUCUCAGCUUGCUCGUGAUCACCGCAUCCUUGAAUCUGUUUUGAGGCUCCUUGGUAGCGAGGACCUCUGGUCAUCCAAGCAGAGUGCUAUUCUGCUGAAACAGAUGACACGGGAAAAGGAAGUACUAAGUGCCAUGCUGCAUCCCCCUGUGGCACACGUUCUGGACAGCGUUAUGGAUGGUGGCGAUGUGUGCCGCUUUAGAGUGUUUGAGGUCUUUGUGGAUGUGGCAAAGGCUUCUCCUGAAAACCUUGAGCGGCUUUCAGAAAGCGGCCAUCUGGAAAGACUGGUGAAAGAAAUGGACAAGAAUGAUGUCUUAGUUCAGCUGAAUGCAUUAGAAGUGCUGACUGAGCUUGUGUCUUGCAGCCAUGGUUUGGAUUAUCUUGAGCGUACUGGCAUCAUAUCCAAGCUCCGUCAGAAAGCUCUCAACAUUGGUUCUGACCCACUCGGUAACUUUCUGGGCCCAGGAGUGCUAAAGUUUUUUGGCAGCAUGGGUGUGACCAGCCCCCAGCGAUUGCUGCUUGACUAUCCUCAGGUGCUGGGCUUUAUCUUUGAAAGUGUGCAAAGUGACGACCCAGCAUGCCAGGUAGUUGCUGCAGAAACAGUGGGUAUCAUCAGCUCCACCAUUCAAGGAAAACGUGUCCUUCAAUCACAUGGGGAUCAGAUGAGCCGCUACCUAAAAACAUUAAGCCAGAACAUCCACAGUGGAAAGGUCGACUUUAAGGUUCGAUAUCUCGGUGCCCUGGCCAAUGUUCUGCACGUUCAAGACAGCAGCUGUGAGGACUUGGUGCACUUGACAGAGCGGUGGUACAGCCUUCUAGGCGACCGACCCACAGACAUGUUGCUCCGCCUGUGCCGGCAGCCUUUCCCUGAGCUGCGUUGUGCCACCCUGACUGUGGUUGCUGAAGUGGCACGAGUACCCUGGGGUCAGGCUGCACUGGCAGCACAGCCAGGGUUCCUUGAGUACCUUCUUGACCGCUCCACUGAGGCUGACAAACAGUGCAAGGAGGCCAAGUUUGCUGUCGUGGCUACCUUGGCUCAGGUGCAACCUCGUGGUUUUGCUGAUGAUGACUGGCAACGCAUCAGGACUGCCUACCAAGAGGGUCCCUUCUAUAUGGCCUCGGAAGCGGCUGUAACGUUUGAGGGGCUCUCCUGAGGCUCUCAUCUGUCAAGAAAUUAUUUGCCAACAAUGCACUUUUGAUGCAACUCAUCACUCAAGGGUCACAUGCUUGGACGAUCGGUUUUGGAAAUAUCACUUUCAGUCUGCACCGAUUAGCUGGUCUUGCAAAAACGCUUGAAUUGUCCAACAUGCCUUGUACUACAUCACACGAAAGUGAAAAUAUUGCCUGAAGUGAUUGCCCGAAAAUACCACUGCAGGACUCCAACACAAAGUGCUCAAGUACAAGGACUCACAAACUCAAACAUAAUACAGCACUGCGUCAUGUUUCCUUCAGUGCAUCAGUGUUCUUGAGGGCUGCACGAAUGAUUUAUCGCCAACUAGCCCAUACGACACCUGCACUUGAAAGAACAAGAAGCUCAAGGAGCAGUGUGAUUUUAGAACAUUGAUGGCCUAGACCUGCUUUCUGCAGCUCCUUCCCACAGCUAAUGGAACACAGAACAAUGCGGAAAGUUGUGUAAAAAAUGUUUUAUUGUAGAAUGUCACCAACGUAAAACAAAUAAAGGGAUCACUUUCUGUCAGAAAAAAUAUGGCAGCAUGAUUCACUCAA